GUCGAGUUCUGUACUCCAGCACCACGAGAGAGGCAGGCAGAGUCAACGGGGGAGCAGCAGCAGCAGCCUCAUUGUAGUGAAGACACCAUGCCCAUAAGCCACCAGUCUUAAAACAGUGAUGCUUCCUGCUGCUGUACUUCACAUCCAUCGUCUUUGGUGUAAAUUCAUUCAAGGCAUAGCAAACAUGGCUAUGGGACGGAAAACUGCAAAGGGGCAGAUUAGAACAAUUGAAGCUUCAGUACCAACCAACCAAGUCCUAUACUCAAAGACAGGAAGUGACCAACAAAAUGGUAAAAUGGGGGGAAGAUCAUGGACAUAUCCAAGCAAUAUCAAAGAGGAUGAAGAGUGGGUAUCUCCUACCUCCUGAUGCUUCUGGGAAAACAAGAGACACCACUCUCUUUGGAAACAACUGUCUUGCUCCCCCUUCCCCCACCACUACCACCCCUUUUAUCCACUUAUUUUAUGAACCUAGAAUUUUAGUUUAAAUGUCUACUUGCGCUUGCAGCUCAUUGGCCACUGAAGGUCACAUGUUCUGUAUGUGUAAUCAUAAGAACACCUCUGCAGCAACAAACUGCAACAUCACUAACAGAAGGUGACUUCCGGGGGAAACAAGCAGGAGGAGCAGGCAAACCCUUGAGAAACAAAAAUUAUGAUUUCAUACAAGUGCUUAAUACUAAGGUUGGAAGGAUUAGAUUUUUAAAUCAGUAAGUGUAGUAAAUCCCAAUUUCACCACACACACACACACAGACAAACCAAUGAAAAAAUCUCUAUCCAUGAUCAAAAUUUACAGCUAAAAGAAAGAAAUAUGCUGCUAGAGAAGUUAGAGUUGGAUUUAAGGAUAUUUACUUUGUAUUUUUGACAUGUGAUUUUGACAAUUUGUGUGUUAAUAGUUAUAAAGCUUUAACCUUUUGAAUCUCAAUGUCCACUGUCAUUAAAUAAUCAUCUGAUCCCUGCCCCGUAAUUUUCCACAAUUGCGAAAAUGUAAAAGAUGAAAAUAAAGAUUGCUUAAAAAUAAACUGAUAUGUCAAAAUUCCUUUUUUUUUUUUUUUUUUUUU